ACGCACGCUGGCGGCGUGCUUAACACAUGCAGGUCGAACGGAAAGGCCCUGCUUUUGUGGGGUGCUCGAGUGGCGAACGGGUGAGUAACACGUGAGUAACCUGCCCUUGACUUUGGGAUAACUUCAGGAAACUGGGGCUAAUACCGGAUAGGAGCUCCUGCUGCAUGGUGGGGGUUGGAAAGUUUCGGCGGUUGGGGAUGGACUCGCGGCUUAUCAGCUUGUUGGUGGGGUAGUGGCUUACCAAGGCUUUGACGGGUAGCCGGCCUGAGAGGGUGACCGGCCACAUUGGGACUGAGAUACGGCCCAGACUCCUACGGGAGGCAGCAGGGGGGAAUAUUGCACAAUGGGCGGAAGCCUGAUGCAGCAACGCCGCGUGCGGGAUGACGGCCUUCGGGUUGUAAACCGCUUUCGCCUGUGACGAAGCGUGAGUGACGGUAAUGGGUAAAGAAGCACCGGCUAACUACGUG
rnacentral:rRNA from 1 species